rnacentral:rRNA from 1 species
GACGAACGCUGGCGGCGUGCCUAAUACAUGCAAGUCGAACGCUUCUUUCCUCCCGAGUGCUUGCACUCAAUUGGAAAGAGGAGUGGCGGACGGGUGAGUAACACGUGGGUAACCUACCCAUCAGAGGGGGAUAACACUUGGAAACAGGUGCUAAUACCGCAUAACAGUUUAUGCCGCAUGGCAUAAGAGUGAAAGGCGCUUUCGGGUGUCGCUGAUGGAUGGACCCGCGGUGCAUUAGCUAGUUGGUGAGGUAACGGCUCACCAAGGCCACGAUGCAUAGCCGACCUGAGAGGGUGAUCGGCCACACUGGGACUGAGACACGGCCCAGACUCCUACGGGAGGCAGCAGUAGGGAAUCUUCGGCAAUGGACGAAAGUCUGACCGAGCAACGCCGCGUGAGUGAAGAAGGUUUUCGGAUCGUAAAACUCUGUUGUUAGAGAAGAACAAGGACGUUAGUAACUGAACGUCCCCUGACGGUAUCUAACCAGUAGGA